ensembl:lncRNA
AGCUACAGGGAAAAGAAAAAAAUGCUUCAGACAUUUUACAGUUCGAUACCUGCAUCACAUUGAACUUUCACUUUUCAUUUUCAGGUCGACACAGAACAACAGAGAAUCCAGUGCCAUCUUACCUGUAGCAGAAUCUCACCUGUCAACAGGAAAAAUGUGUGCAGACGACAUCCACACUCAGACUGAUGAGAGAGCAGCUCCAUGUGCACAUCAGAGCUCAUCCGACACUGAGAUGAUGAUGAUGAUGAAUGAGCUGGAACCUUCUCAGAGUCUGGAGGCGGACAGGUACCUGCAUCAUGUCACCUGAUACACGCUGAGGGCCACUGAUGUGUUUCUGACGCCUCUGGUGAUCUGAUGCCUUACGAAUGCUAGCAAAACAACUUCAUAUAGCCUACUAUAUGGCUCGAUCCAAAAUCACAUGCUUCCCUAAUAUAUAGAAGACCAAAAACAGUAUUUGAAAAGAGACUAGUAUGUCCAAAUUCACAGUAUUCAAAAAAUAAUUGGCAAAACGUUCCCAGAUGACCUUCUAUUUCCGUCAAGAUUCUGAAUUGCGCAUCAAAUGGACACUUUAUUAUCCCAUGAGGCCACGGCAGAGGAUCUGUGAGUGGCAGUGAAGCGACACAACUGAUGCUGGUAGGUCACAUGACAGUGACAGCAUGAUGAAUGCAGUACGUCUGGAUUACACUCAUUCUACACACAUUCAUACUUUAUAGAACACAAAUACAUACUUAGUAUGCAAUUUCAGACACAGCCUUCGUGUCAAAUUUAUUUCAUACAAUUUCUACAGAAUUUAUGCACUUAGAGACCAUCAUAAUUUGUUUAAUAAGAAGAUUAUAUAAAUUAUACAGUUUAAUCUUUCAAACUUAAGAUUCAAUCAAGUAUCCACUAUGGAAGCCUGAUUUAAUCAACCACAGAAUAAGAGGUAAUUACGACUUUUUAUUUCAUAGUUUGGACUUUUUUCUUGCAAUUCCGAGUUUGCAUCUCACAAAUCUAUUGCAUCUCACAGAUCUAUCUAUCUGAUUUCACCAAUGAAUAAAAAAUAAAGUGAAAUAAUAAUUGCAAUUUUUUUUAUCUCACAAUUCUGACUUUUUUCCCUUGCGACUGAGAGUUUAUAUCUCACAAUCCAGACUUUUCUUCUUCGCAAUUCUGACUUUCUGAGUUUAUAUUUUGCAGUUCUGAGAAAAAGUCAGAAUCUCCAGAUAUAAACACAGAAUCAUGGGGAAAAAAGUCACAACUGCCAUUUUUAUUUUGUUUCAGUCCUGUGGCAGAAACAAGCUUUCAUAAUCUAUCCUUCUGCCUUUAGAUCUGAGGAUGUUUCUGGCAACUUCACGUGAGACUCCUCAGUCAGAUGAGAUACUGGUGCCCUGGGAUCUGAAGUUUGAGUUCUUUGCAUAAGAUUUCAUCUUACAUCACCCAUGUAAGAGCAUCUCACAGCCCACACCGAGAUGACUGAUGCAGUUUUAGUGUGACAGGACUUUCAUCAUCGCUGUCUUCUGCUCCUCAAACUGAUAAGAGCUGGAGUCGACCGCAGUGCAGAUGUGUUUGUUUAUCUGUGAGCUGUUCGCUAGAGGAUGACCGUACAGACAGAUCGCUCGCUGAUCACACCCCAUGCGAUGUCCUCCCAGAGAGACUGCUGGCAUGCUUAAAUGCCACUGAUAAAAGUGUACAUGUUCUCUCACUAUGACAAUCAGUUCUGAGCAAUGCAAAGUCUGCUUUAAAGGAAAAGUUCCUCCCCCAAAAAUGAAAAUUUGCUGAAAAUGUUCUCAAGCCAUUCAGAUGAGUUUGGAGAAAUGUAGCAUUCCAUCACUUGCUCACUAAUGGAUCCUUUGAAGUGAAUGGGUGCCGUCAGAAUGAGAGUCCAAACAGCUGAUAAAAACAUCACAAUAAUCCACACCACUCCAGUACAUCAAUAUAAUGCCUUGUGAAGUGGAAAAGCUGUGUGUUUCUAAGAAACAAAUUCAUCAAGGAAUUUUCAUUUUAAACCGCUGCAAACUCGUCUACAUAUUGCACUGCACUGUUGUCCAUCUAUAGGGCAAAAUCAUCAAUUUGAAAAGGAAUCACACAAGUGGAGUGUUUCUUUUCCAAUUCCAUUGAUA